UGAUGGUGAUGAGGAAAACUUUUGAGCAUGCCCUUGAAUCUCUCCCAAGCUUCGUAGAGAUUUUCUCCUUCUUUCUAUCUGAAACUCAAUAUCUGACUUCUUAAUCA
rnacentral:snoRNA from 1 species